rnacentral:rRNA from 11 species
GCCUGAGGCCUGAAUAUCUUGAAUGCACCAACCCCUGUCUGAUCUUGGAAGCUAAGCUGGGCUAGCACUGGUGGUUAGCACUUAGAUUGGAGACUGCCAAGGAAUAUCACAUACUGUAGGAU